CAGUCGCCGCGGUAAUACGUAGGUGGCAAGCGUUGUCCGGAAUUAUUGGGCGUAAAGGGCUCGCAGGCGGUUUCUUAAGUCUGAUAAGAAAGCCCCCGGCUCAACCGGGGAGGGUCAUUGGAAACUGGGAAACUUGAGUGCAGAAGAGGAGAGUGGAAUUCCACGUGUAGCGGUGAAAUGCGUAGAGAUGUGGAGGAACACCAGUGGCGAAGGCGACUCUCUGGUCUGUAACUGACGCUGAGGAGCGAAAGCGUGGGGAGCGAACAGGAUUAGAUACCCCCGUAGUCCCUGUCUCUUAUAC
rnacentral:rRNA from 1 species